rnacentral:rRNA from 1 species
GGUUAAGCGACUAAGCGUACACGGUGGAUGCCCUGGCAGUCAGAGGCGAUGAAGGACGUGCUAAUCUGCGAAAAGCGUCGGUAAGGUGAUAUGAACCGUUACAGCCGGCGAUGUCCGAAUGGGGAAACCCAGUGUGAUUCGUCACACUAUCGUUAACUGAAUACAUAGGUUAACGAGGCGAACCGGGGGAACUGAAACAUCUAAGUACCCCGAGGAAAAGAAAUCAACCGAGAUUCCCCCAGUAGCGGCGAGCGAACGGGGAGCAGCCCAGAGUCUGAAUCAGCUUGUGUGUUAGUGGAACGGUCUGGAAAGUCCGACGGUACAGGGUGAUAGUCCCGUACACCAAAAUGCACAGGCUGUGAACUCGAAGAGUAGGGCGGGACACGUGGUAUCCUGUCUGAAUAUGGGGGGACCAUCCUCCAAGGCUAAAUACUCCUGACUGACCGAUAGUGAACCAGUACCGUGAGGGAAAGGCGAAAAGAACCCCGGCGAGGGGAGUGAAAAAGAACCUGAAACCGUGUACGUACAAGCAGUGGGAGCACCUUUAUGGUGUGACUGCGUACCUUUUGUAUAAUGGGUCAGCGACUUAUAUUCUGUAGCAAGGUUAACCGUAUAGGGGAGCCGCAGGGAAACCGAGUCUUAACUGGGCGUUAAGUUGCAGGGUAUAGACCCGAAACCCGGUGAUCUAGCCAUGGGCAGGUUGAAGGUUGGGUAACACUAACUGGAGGACCGAACCGACUAAUGUUGAAAAAUUAGCGGAUGACUUGUGGCUGGGGGUGAAAGGCCAAUCAAACCGGGAGAUAGCUGGUUCUCCCCGAAAGCUAUUUAGGUAGCGCCUCGUGAAUUCAUCUUCGGGGGUAGAGCACUGUUUCGGCUAGGGGGUCAUCCCGACUUACCAACCCGAUGCAAACUACGAAUACCGAAGAAUGUUAUCACGGGAGACACACGGCGGGUGCUAACGUCCGUCGUGAAGAGGGAAACAACCCAGACCGCCAGCUAAGGUCCCAAAGUCACAGUUAAGUGGGAAACGAUGUGGGAAGGCACAGACAGCCAGGAUGUUGGCUUAGAAGCAGCCAUCAUUUAAAGAAAGCGUAAUAGCUCACUGGUCGAGUCGGCCUGCGCGGAAGAUGUAACGGGGCUAAACUGUGCACCGAAGCUGCGGCAGCGACACUAUGUGUUGUUGGGUAGGGGAGCGUUCUGUAAGCCUGCGAAGGUGGCCUGUGAGGGUUGCUGGAGGUAUCAGAAGUGCGAAUGCUGACAUAAGUAACGAUAAUGCGGGUGAAAAGCCCGCACGCCGGAAGACCAAGGGUUCCUGUCCAACGUUAAUCGGGGCAGGGUGAGUCGACCCCUAAGGCGAGGCCGAAAGGCGUAGUCGAUGGGAAACAGGUUAAUAUUCCUGUACUUGGUGUUACUGCGAAGGGGGGACGGAGAAGGCUAUGUUAGCCGGGCGACGGUUGUCCCGGUUUAAGCAUGUAGGCGGAGGUUCCAGGUAAAUCCGGUACCUUUUAACGCUGAGGUGUGAUGACGAGGCACUACGGUGCUGAAGUAACAAAUGCCCUGCUUCCAGGAAAAGCCUCUAAGCAUCAGGUAACAUUGAAUCGUACCCCAAACCGACACAGGUGGUCAGGUAGAGAAUACCAAGGCGCUUGAGAGAACUCGGGUGAAGGAACUAGGCAAAAUGGUGCCGUAACUUCGGGAGAAGGCACGCUGAUAUGUAGGUGAAGUCCCUGCGGAUGGAGCUGAAAUCAGUCGAAGAUACCAGCUGGCUGCAACUGUUUAUUAAAAACACAGCACUGUGCAAACACGAAAGUGGACGUAUACGGUGUGACGCCUGCCCGGUGCCGGAAGGUUAAUUGAUGGGGUUAUCCGUAAGGAGAAGCUCUUGAUCGAAGCCCCGGUAAACGGCGGCCGUAACUAUAACGGUCCUAAGGUAGCGAAAUUCCUUGUCGGGUAAGUUCCGACCUGCACGAAUGGCGUAAUGAUGGCCAGGCUGUCUCCACCCGAGACUCAGUGAAAUUGAACUCGCUGUGAAGAUGCAGUGUACCCGCGGCAAGACGGAAAGACCCCGUGAACCUUUACUAUAGCUUGACACUGAACAUUGAGCCUUGAUGUGUAGGAUAGGUGGGAGGCUUUGAAGCGUGGACGCCAGUCUGCGUGGAGCCAACCUUGAAAUACCACCCUUUAAUGUUUGAUGUUCUAACGUUGGCCCCUAAUCGGGGUUGCGGACAGUGUCUGGUGGGUAGUUUGACUGGGGCGGUCUCCUCCCAAAGAGUAACGGAGGAGCACGAAGGUUAGCUAAUCCUGGUCGGACAUCAGGAGGUUAGUGCAAUGGCAUAAGCUAGCUUGACUGCGAGCGUGACGGCGCGAGCAGGUGCGAAAGCAGGUCAUAGUGAUCCGGUGGUUCUGAAUGGAAGGGCCAUCGCUCAACGGAUAAAAGGUACUCCGGGGAUAACAGGCUGAUACCGCCCAAGAGUUCAUAUCGACGGCGGUGUUUGGCACCUCGAUGUCGGCUCAUCACAUCCUGGGGCUGAAGUAGGUCCCAAGGGUAUGGCUGUUCGCCAUUUAAAGUGGUACGCGAGCUGGGUUUAGAACGUCGUGAGACAGUUCGGUCCCUAUCUGCCGUGGGCGCUGGAGAAUUGAGGGGGGCUGCUCCUAGUACGAGAGGACCGGAGUGGACGCAUCACUGGUGUUCGGGUUGUCAUGCCAAUGGCAUUGCCCGGUAGCUAAAUGCGGAAGAGAUAAGUGCUGAAAGCAUCUAAGCACGAAACUUGCCCCGAGAUGAGUUCUCCCUGAGACUUUAAGUCUCCUGAAGGAACGUUAAAGACGAUGACGUUGAUAGGUCGGGUGUGUAAGCGUAGCGAUACGUUGAGCUAACCGAUACUAAUGAACCGUGAGGCUUAACCUUAC